rnacentral:sRNA from 1 species
AGAACCUUUACGACGUGUUUGUCAACAUCCGGGACGACGAGCUGGAGCA